rnacentral:rRNA from 1 species
UACGAAGGGUGCAAGCGUUGCUCGGAAUUAUUGGGCGUAAAGGGUAGGUAGGUGGUGAUAUUUGUCUGGGGUGAAAUCCCUGAGCUUAACUCAGGACGUGCCUUGGAAACGGUAUCACUAGAGUACUGGAGAGGUUCGUAGAAUUCCUGGUGUAGCGGUGAAAUGCGCAGAUAUCAGGAGGAACACCGGUGGCGAAGGCGGGUCUCUGGGCCGAUACUGACGCUGAGGAGCGAAAGCGUGGGGAGCGAACAGG